AUUGAACGCUGGCGGCAUGCUUUACACAUGCAAGUCGAACGGCAGCGCGGGCUUCGGCCUGGCGGCGAGUGGCGAACGGGUGAGUAAUACAUCGGAACGUGCCCAGCCGUGGGGGAUAGCUCGGCGAAAGCCGGAUUAAUACCGCAUACGACCUGAGGGUGAAAGCGGGGGAUCUUCGGACCUCGCGCUAUUGGCGCGGCCGUUGGCAGAUUAGCUAGUUGGUGGGGUAAAGGCCUACCAAGGCGACGAUCUGUAGCUGGUCUGAGAGGACGACCAGCCACACUGGAACUGAGACACGGCCCAGACUCCUACGGGAGGCAGCAGUGGGGAAUUUUGGACAAUGGGCGAAAGCCUGAUCCAGCAAUGCCGCGUGUGUGAUGAAGGCCUUCGGGUUGUAAAGCACUUUUGGCGGGAACGAAAAGGACUGUGCCAAUACCACGGUUCGAUGACGGUACCCGCAGAAUAAGCACCGGCUAACUACGUG
rnacentral:rRNA from 1 species